rnacentral:piRNA from 2 species
UGAGAAACAGUGUCUUUUCCUCUACAAGCU